CUUGUACCGACUGGGAUGAGCAGCCCAUUUGUGAGUAACGCGUGGGGAAUCUGCCUUUGAGCGGGGGACUUCAUUUGGAAACGAAUGCUAAUACCGCAUAAAAACUUUAAACACAAGUUUUAAGUUUGAAAGAUGCAAUUGCAUCACUCAAAGAUGAUCCCGCGUUGUAUUAGCUAGUUGGGGAGGGAAAGGCUCACCAAGGCGAUGAUACAUAGCCGACCUGAGAGGGUGAUCGGCCACAUUGGGACUGAGACACGGCCCAAACUCCUACGGGAGGCAGCAGUAGGGAAUCUUCGGCAAUGGACGAAAGUCUGACCGAGCAACGCCGCGUGAGUGAAGAAGGUUUUCGGAUCGUAAAACUCUGUUGGUAGAGAAGAACGUUGGUGAGAGUGGAAAGCUCAUCAAGUGACGGUAACUACCCAGAAAGGGACGGCUAACUACGUGCCAGCAGCCGCGGUAAUACGUAGGUCCCGAGCGUUGUCCGGAUUUAUUGGGCGUAAAGCGAGCGCAGGUGGUUUAUUAAGUCUGGUGUAAAAGGCAGUGGCUCAACCAUUGUAUGCAUUGGAAACUGGUAGACUUGAGUGCAGGAGAGGAGAGUGGAAUUCUAUGUGUAGCGGUGAAAUGCGUAGAUAUAUGGAGGAACACCGGUGGCGAAAGCGGCUCUCUGGCCU
rnacentral:rRNA from 1 species